rnacentral:rRNA from 1 species
GACGAAGGAUGCAAGCGUUAUCCGGAUUCAUUGGGUUUAAAGGGAGCGUAGGUGGCCUUGUAAGUCAGUGGUGAAAUCCUGUCGCUUAACGAUAGAAUUGCCAUUGAUACUGCAGGGCUUGAGUACAGUUGCCGUUGGCGGAAUAUGACAUGUAGUGGUGAAAUACAUAGAUAUGUCAUAAAACACCGAUUGCGAAGGCAGCUGACGAAACUGUAACUGACACUGAGGCUCGAAAGUGUGGGGAUCAAACAGG